rnacentral:rRNA from 1 species
GAUGAACGCUGGCGGCGUGCCUAAUACAUGCAAGUCGAGCGAACAGACGAGGAGCUUGCUCCUUUGACGUUAGCGGCGGACGGGUGAGUAACACGUAGAUAACCUACCUAUAAGACUGGGAUAACUUCGGGAAACCGGAGCUAAUACCGGAUAAUAUUUCGAACCGCAUGGUUCGAUAGUGAAAGAUGGCUUUGCUGUCACUUAUAGAUGGACCCGCGCCGCAUUAGCUAGUUGGUAAGGUAACGGCUUACCAAGGCAACGAUGCGUAGCCGACCUGAGAGGGUGAUCGGCCACACUGGAACUGAGACACGGUCCAGACUCCUACGGGAGGCAGCAGUAGGGAAUCUUCCGCAAUGGGCGAAAGCCUGACGGAGCAACGCCGCGUGAGUGAUGAAGGUCUUCGGAUCGUAAAACUCUGUUAUUAGGGAAGAACAAACGUGUAAGUAACUAUGCACGUCUUGACGGUACCUAAUCAGAAAGCCACGGCUAACUACGUG